CACGUAGGGCGCAAGCGUUGUCCGGAAUUAUUGGGCGUAAAGAGCUCGUAGGCGGUCCGUCACGUCCGCUGUGAAAACCCAGGGCUCAACCCUGGGCUUGCAGUGGAUACGGGCAGACUAGAGGGUAGGUAGGGGAGAAUGGAAUUCCCGGUGUAGCGGUGAAAUGCGCAGAUAUCGGGAGGAACGACCGGUGGCGAAGGCGGUUCUCUGGGCCGUUACCUGACGCUGAGGAGCGAAAGCGUGGGGAGCGAACAGG
rnacentral:rRNA from 1 species